rnacentral:miRNA from 1 species
UCAGCUUUGAGAACUGAAUUCCAUGGGUUGU